rnacentral:rRNA from 1 species
GAUGAACGCUGGCGGCGUGCCUAAUACAUGCAAGUCGAGCGAACAGACGAGGAGCUUGCUCCUUGGACGUUAGCGGCGGACGGGUGAGUAACACGUGGAUAACCUACCUAUAAGACUGGGAUAACUUCGGGAAACCGGAGCUAAUACCGGAUAAUAUAUUGAACCGCAUGGUUCAAUAGUGAGAGACGGUUUUUCUGUCACUUAUAGAUGGAUCCGCGCCGCAUUAGCUAGUUGGUCAGUUACCGGCUUACCAAGGCAACGAUGCGUAGCCGACCUGAGAGGGUGAUCGGCCACACUGGAACUGAGACACGGUCCAGACUCCUACGGGAGGCAGCAGUCGGGAAUCUUCCGCAGUGGGCGAAAGCCUGACGGAGCAACGCCGCGUGAGUGAUGAAGGUCUUCGGAUCGUAAAGCUCUGUUAUUAGGGAAGAACAAAUGUGUAAGUAACUAUGCACGUCUUGACGGUACCUAAUCAGAAAGCAACGGCUAACUACGUG